rnacentral:rRNA from 1 species
GAUGAACGCUGGCGGCGUGCUUAACACAUGCAAGUCGAACGGAAAGGCCAGUGCUUGCUCUGGUGCUCGAGUGGCGAACGGGUGAGUAACACGUGGGUGAUCUGCCCUGCACUUUGGGAUAAGCCUGGGAAACUGGGUCUAAUACCAGAUAGGACCAUGCUUUGGAUGGUGUGGUGGAAAGUUUUUUCGGUGUGGGAUGAGCUUGCGGCCUAUCAGCUUGUUGGUGGGGUAAUGGCCUACCAAGGCGUCGACGGGUAGCCGGCCUGAGAGGGUGUACGGCCACAUUGGGGCUGGGGUACGGCCCAGACUCCUACGGGAGGCAGGAGGGGGGAAUAUUGCACCAGGGGCGCAAGCCUGAUGCAGCGACGCCGCGUGGGGGAUGACGGCCUUCGGGUUGGAAACUCCUUUCGCAACUGACGAAGCUUUUUGUGACGGUAGGUUGAGAAGAAGCACCGGCUAACUACGUG